CCGGAUUACCCGAAGUCAUUCCAUC
rnacentral:rasiRNA from 1 species